CAAAUCCAAACAAAAGCAAAAAAAAAAAAAUACGUUGUGGCUCUUUAAAGACUAACUGCUAUAUUUUAAUGCAAUCUUUCAUUCCACAACACACUUCUACAUCCCCAGCGAUGCCAGGACUAUCUGUACAAGGUUCCAGAAUUACAAGUCGACAGCAAAAAACCCAAAGCAGCAAAUAGGUUCUGUGCCAAUGAUCUUGGAAACCUGGUUUUUGAACAUUGCCAUUUCUGAUCUCAAAUUCGUGCCCAUUUAAAUGCAUUUGUUUGAAAUAUGGUGCUGGAGGAAAGCUUUGAGGAUAACUUGGUGCCCCAUCCGCCUCCAUUUGGACCAAAUAAAGGAUCUUACUCAUCUGUACACAUUUAACUGUUGAGCAAUUUGAAAAGCCUCAUCAUAUUUUAAUAUAUGUGCUAUGACUAAUCCCCCUUUUGUGGCUAGUCCAUAUUUUACACUAUAUAAAUCUUAGAAUUUUGAAAAAGAUUAAGAUCAAAUAAGAGAUGGAUCGCCUUGCCUAAGGAAGCCACAGGCUUGAGUGUGCAGGAGCUGAGGACAGGACAUUUUGGAGAUUACUCAUUCAUAGGGUUGCCAUAAAUUGGAGGUUACUUGACAGCAUGUAACAAUGAUCCAUAGGAGCUGAUUUGCUUUUCCCAAACCAAAUGCAGUAGGGCAAUGCUGAUAGGAGCUUUGUGGUACAGUGGUUAAACUGCAGUACUGCAACCAAACCUCUGCUCACAAUCCCAUGUAGCUAGCUUGAGGUUCAAUCAGCCUUCCAAGGUUGGUAAAUCGAAUACCCAGCUUGCGGGGAAGGGGGGAUGUAUAGCCUGCAUAAUUAAAUUGCAAACCACCCAGAGUGAUCUCAGUGCUAUAGGACAGUACACUGUAUGAGCAGCACACUUUUUUUUUUUGCUCAGUCUCCAAGGUGCCACAAGAUGAUUUGUUGUUUUUACUAUACAUUUUUUAUAAUGGUGGGACGUUAUCAGAAAGACCACAGGCCCAGGCGAAACAAUGAAGUGCUGCAACAUCUUAAACUGCAGUCCAUUUCGUAUGAUUACCUGACAAAAGUGAAGUAUUUAUGACCAAUAAAAUUUCUACUCUUUAAAACGUAA